AUUGAACGCUGGCGGCGUGCCUAACACAUGCAAGUCGAGCGGCGAGCGCGGGAGCAAUCCUGGCGGCGAGCGGCGGACGGGUGAGUAACGCUUGGGAAUCUGCCUGUUAGUGGGGGACAACCCGGGGAACUCGGGCUAAUACCGCAUACGCACUACGGUGGAAAGCCGGGGACCGCAAGGCCUGGCGCUAACAGAUGAGCCCAAGUCGGAUUAGCUAGUUGGUAGGUAACGGCCUACCAAGGCGACGAUCCGUAACUGGUCUGAGAGGACGACCAGUCACACCGGAACUGAGACACGGUCCGGACUCCUACGGGAGGCAGCAGUGGGGAAUAUUGGACAAUGGGGGAAACCCUGAUCCAGC
rnacentral:rRNA from 1 species